GCAUCCAUGGCUGAAUGGUUAAAGCGCCCAACCUAAUAAAGAGGCAAGUAGGUUCGAUUCCUGCUGGAUGCA
rfam:Arabidopsis thaliana chromosome 2, complete sequence.